AAGACUAUACUUUCAGUGAUCAUUUCUAUAGUUUCUGACUUGAGAAAUGUGUUUCUGAAGUGUUUGAUCUUAUUAACCGUGAUGAUGAAUCAUGAUAUUCCUUUGUGAGUGUGAAACUGACAGAGAAUAAUGAUUCACUUAAUGUGCUUUCUGUUAUCAAUGAUCAUUCUUUGCUUCUUUAUGAAACAUUGAGGAAGGGAAUGUGCUUAGAGGGGU